CCGGAUAGCUGGGAUUACAGGCACGCACAACCACGCCCGGCUAGUUUUGUAUUUUUAGUAGAGACGGGGUUUCUCCAUUGGUCGCAAGUGAAUAUCAGAUAUACACAAAAUGUAUUUCAAUCCUUUAGAGGAGAUAAGAUUAAAGACAGAUGGCUUAUUUAGCCAAGACUAUGGCUCAAUCUUUAAACACCUACUUGUCCCUCAUCAAUGCUCCUAAAAAUAUCCCUUUUCAUUAUUCCCACUACCCUCCAAAAGACACAUCUCAGUCCUUACAUGGGAUUCCUCUCAUCCUCUGUGAUGACAGUCAUUAGGGCCACGGUUCCCAAACUAUGUACUCAAUACCCAGGACACAAUGGCAAACUCACGAGGUAUUGUGGG
rnacentral:lncRNA from 1 species